ACCCUGGGAAACUGGGGAUAAUACUAGAUAGGCAAUUUUUCCUGGAAUGGUUUUUUGUUUAAAUGUUUUUUCGCCUAAGGAUGGGUCUGCGGCCGAUUAGGUAGUUGGUUAGGUAACGGCUUACCAAGCCAUUGAUCGGUACGGGUUGUGAGAGCAAGAGCCCGGAGAUGGAACCUGAGACAAGGUUCCAGGCCCUACGGGGUGCAGCAGGCGCGAAACCUCCGCAAUGUGAGAAAUCGCGAUGGGGGGAUCCCAAGUGCCAUUCUUAACGGGAUGGCUUUUCAUUAGUGUAAAGAGCUUUUGGAAUAAGGGCUGGGCAAGACCGGUGCCAGCCGCCGCGGUAACACCGGCAGCUCU
rnacentral:rRNA from 1 species